UACGAAGGGUGCAAGCGUUAAUCGGAAUUACUGGGCGUAAAGCGUGCGUAGGCGGUUUGUUAAGUCUGUUGUGAAAUCCCCCGGGCUCAACCUGGGAAUGGCAAUGGAUACUGGCAAGCUAGAGUGUGAUAGAGGAUGGUGGAAUUCCCGGUGUAGCGGUGAAAUGCGUAGAGAUCGGGAGGAACAUCAGUGGCGAAGGCGGCCAUCUGGAUCAACACUGACGCUGAGGCACGAAAGCGUGGGGAGCAAACAGG
rnacentral:rRNA from 1 species